GACGAACGCUGGCGGCGUGCCUAACACAUGCAAGUCGAGCGAAGUGAGUACUACGGUACGAACUUAGCGGCGGACGGGUGAGUAACGCGUGGACAAUCUACCCUGUAGACUGGGAUAACACCUCGAAAGGGGUGCUAAUACCGGAUAAUGUCGAGAAGCGGCAUCGCUUUUCGAAGAAAGGAGAGAGUCUGCUAGAAGAGGAGUCCGCGGCCCGUUAGCUAGUUGGGGAGGGUAACGGCCCACCAAGGCGACGAUGGGUAGCCGGCCGGAGAGGGUGAACGGCCACACUGGAACUGAGACACGGUCCAGACUCCUACGGGAGGCAGCAGUGGGGAAUAUUGUGCAAUGGGGGAACCCCUGACACAGCAACGCCGCGUGAGCGAAGAAGGCCUUCGGGUUGUAAAGCUCAAUAGUAUGGGAAGAUAAUGACGGUACCAUACGAAAGCCCCGGCUAACUACGUGCCAGCCGCCGCCGUAAGAC
rnacentral:rRNA from 1 species